CUAAAUUAGCAUACAUUGUUGAGGGAUGUAAUCUGGCUAACAUCCUUAGUAUGGCUAAGACUCAAAUUAACACAUUGUACAAUCAAUCUAAACCCCAAAUGAAUGCACGAAAGAUGAAGAGGCCCUCUCUAGAUUUGGAUUUGAGUUUGGGUCUGAGAGAAGGAGGGCUUCACAUUGUAUUGACGUCUUCACACAAUUUAUACGUAAUUAGUUAGUUUAGGUAGUAGCUUCUUUUGUAAGUUAGUAGGGCUGUCUAUCAGACAGUUUUGGGUCAAGAUUGUCGAUUUUUUCGGUUGAAAAAUACCAAAUCACUAGGUCCGCCACCAUCCAUUUAUCGGCUACAGGUGAUUCAUAUUCGCCUUUGUCAGAUGGUGGUUUUGUUGGGUCGGUUAGCAUCUAACCGGGACAGAAAACAUCAUAAAAAAAUGAACAAUUCCAUAUUGCAAUACAAAAGAUGAACAAUAAAGUUAGACCAGAACCAAAUCAAGGAGGAACCUCAACAAAAAUAACCUAUCAAUAGAAAUAACCCAAUGAUGAGAUCUCGUCCCCUCCACCGUGAUGAGAUUGCUUUCACCAUGACGAGAUCUCCUCUGUCAUGACGAGAUUGCUUCCGCCAUGACGAGAUCUCCUCCUCUUUUGAAGGAGAUCAAGCUUCCACACUCAUAUCUGCGACAAUGAGAUAGAAAGGGUGAGGACACAGUUGAUGGCGGACAACGUUGAUGAUGAAGACAAUGAAAGAGAAGGGAAUCAAGGGAUCUUCAUGUGGAGAGGUCCAGAGGCAUGGUUCACAGCACAACUGAGCCAAGGUUUUGAUGCAUUUAAUUUGAAUGAGAAAGAAGUGGAUACCAUGCUAGGGUUAAUGGAUGUCACCUUAUGACGGAAAAUAUAAAAUCAUUCUGAGAUAGACUCACUCUUUUUUUCUUAUCAUCUCUAGCUUUCUCAGACUUUUAUAGCUACUUCGGAUUUUUAUAGCUACUUCGGUCGAUUCCGUGGAGCGAAAGCCUAAUUUGAAUCUGAUCAAACCAUACCACCUUGCUGUCUCAAUCCGCUUUGAACCGCAAUCGGUUAGACCCGACCCAAAGACAAAAAAAAGGUCAGUUUCUUCAUGUUUGGUUUGGGUUGGGUCUUGUUGAAAAAACCUAUAAGCUUGAACGCAUAACUCUUAGAUCAAUAAGCUGCUAUACUAGCUUCUUAACACCAUUCAAUUGAAUCAUAUUAGUUUGGAUUCUGUUUUAUUGUUUAUGUUUUAUGACAACUAACUAACCAUACUAUAGAAAAUAAAGAGAAUGAAAACAUGAAUUCCCUCAAAAACCGUAAACCUAGUCCACCUUGUAACUUUGGGCAAUGAAAGUCUGAGAUGUUUUCUUGCGCAUAUGCUUUUUGUAUUGGUACCCCUGCAAAGAUCAUAUAAGUAACUUUGUGAUAAGCUAUUAUUUACCAAAAUAUCAAAAGUUAUAUUUAAACUCACGCAUAUCUCAAUCAUGACAAUAUGAAAUAUAAUUUUUUCAUCUAUUUUUGCAAUUAGUUCAUUACAACAUACUACUUUUUCUAGAAAUUUGAUAAGGGGGGUGUAAGAGUGAGAUAACAAUUUGAUUUACCAUCAUAUAAUUAUUAAUUAUUCUUUCCAUUUUGUUUUUCAAUUUGUAUCAAUUUCUAAUAAAGAUGAAGAAUACCUUAUUGGUCCCAUAAAUGUAAUCACAAUAGGUAAACACUGAGGCAAAAUUGCUUUUACUUCUUUCCCCAACAUAGUGGUGGUAGUCAUGGUAUGCUGGACCUCCAUAAAAUGGUAUAUAUCUUGUGGGACUCCACGGGAACUCAUACCUAAUUUACAACAUAAUUAAAAUAAAAUAUCAUACCAUCUUAAAAUCAUCUAUAAUUCACUAAAAAUAACUAAAUUUCACCUGGAAAAACUAGCUUGGAAUCACAAUCUUCUACUUUAUUACAACAAAUACUAUAUUUUUAAUACAAUUAAAAAUUUCAAUAAUAUUAAAAUAAUUUAAUAAAAAAACUAUUAAAUUAUUUAAGAAGUCUAUCAUUUACCCGCUAUGCGUCUCAAUGGCUUCUAGCUGUCUCAAAAUGAACCACAACCAAUAGGUAGUAAUGUGCCCUGGAACCAGUGCUGGGCCAAGAAAUGCUGGGAAGCCCAGUAUCAAAAUCUCAGCCCAAUGGGCAUAAGGAGCUGAAAGCCCAAUGGGUGAUGUGUAUUCAUGAUGAACCUUGUGGAUAUUGUCAUAUGCCCAUUUGCAAUGGAGCAUCCUAUGAAUUCAGUAGUUUGAAAAAUCUUCUAUGAUAAAGUAAGCUAGUAAUUGCCAAAAUAGUUCCCAGCCUGAUGGCAAUGACAAACUAGUUCUGAUCCCAAGCCACUAGACAAAAUUGAAGGAGAAAAAAAAAAUCAAAAGUCACUACUAAUAAUUGAAUAACAUGCAUAUGAGAGAACCUAUGCAUUUAUAAGGAAAAUAAAUAAAAUUAUAAAAACUAUUAAAAAAAUGCAUGCAACAAACAAGUUGGUUCACGAUAGUCAUGUUAGAAAUUUAAUAUAAAAUCAUUUAUGUAAUCAUUAACUCACAACUUAAAUUUUUGAGAUAAUUAGUAUUGCUUAAUAAAUUUUUCAUGAGGAAUGCGUUCUUUCAGAUGGUUAACCACCUAGUGAAGGCUAAAUUAAUAUUUUUCCAAAGUCAUGUUUCCAUCUCUAAAAAUGAGCAGUAUUGCUCCUUGAGAUAUAUGCGAGGUUUCUCUUCGGGAGUUAGAAUUGAUACCCUACUCUUAGAAUUGCUACCCCCUUUAAAGUGGGAAAUCUCCAAAAUAUCCCUGUUAAAAAUAAUUCCCGAGGUUCACCCCGAGCUUUAAGUCUCGGGAUAUCUUAUAAUUUUCCUGAUGAAUUUCUCGAGUUUUGGUACCUCGGGAACACCCCGAGCUUUAAGUUUUGGGAUAUAUUAUAAUUUUUCUGAUGAAUUUCCCGAGCUUUGGUACCUCGGGAACACCCCGAGGGUCUAAUUCUCGGAAUCCUUCAGAGGGCUAUGCCCCGGUAAUUUAUAAACGUGCAUUUCCCUAGGUUUGUCAAGCUCAGAAUGUGAAAAAUGUGUUCCCCCCAAACCUCGGAAACCUUCCUUGAAGAAAUUGGAACAAUUCCCGAGCCUUAGACCUCGUUAAGGAAAACGUAAGAAAACAACUUCCAGUCCCGAGCCCUAGAGCUCGGGAGAAAGUGAUGAGGAGCAUGAUGCACUGCAGAGAACGUGAAGGCUCGGGAAUGGGAGAAAAGGGGGUGUUAAAACAUGGAUGUAAUUUUGGGUUUUUAAGAAAAUAAGGGGUAACAAUUCUAAGAGUAGAGAUACCAAUUCUCAUUCCCUUUAUGUUCCCUUAUUUGUUUGAUUAAUGUAAAUGUCAUAUCACAUGGCUGCCCAUAUUAAUCAAAUAAGAACCACAAAGGGUGACACAAGUGGUGAAUGUGCAUUUUCUUAAGGGAUUUCACCUAGGCUUCUGGCCCGAGUUCGAUCCCCUCUGAGGUCAAAAAUAAAAACCUUUGUGGUCAGGGACAUCACUACCGUAUCCCGAGCCAGAUUAGUCAUGUGGGGCCCCUUUCCCCCGUGGAGACUGGUGGCCAAAGGAGCAAAAAUAUUAAUCAAAUGAGUACUCUUCAAUUUUUUUUUUUGAAAUUGUACAGUACCCAUCCUAUUCGUAUGUUGCAAUUUCUGUUAACACUAAGAGCCCGUUUGGUACGUUGUAUUGUAUAAGGCCUGAUAGUAUAAGGUCUGAUUGUAUUAGGCCUGAUAGGAUAAGGCCUGAUAAAAUUUUAAUACUAUUCAGCGUUUGAUUAUACACUGUAUAAUUUGGUGGCAACUAAGGGUGGAAAUAGGCCGGGCCGAGCUAGACUUUGCGUGGCCUAAGCCUGGCCUGCAUUCUCUUUUCGUGGCCCAAGCUUGGCCUGUGGCCUAUCAAUAGGCCAAAUUUUAAGGCUUGACCUGACCUACAAGCCUACUUAAAAGCCUAUUUAACAGAAAAUUUCACAAAAAAAAAGGUCAUUAGGCCAGCGGGUCUAUAGGCUAGCGGGCUAAUAAGUAUUUUUAUAUAUCAUUGCAUUUUCUUUUCAAAUAAAUAGUUCCCAGCCAGAUGGCAAUGACAAACUAGUUCUGAUCCCAAGCCACUAGACAAAAUUGAAGGAGAAAAAAAUAUCAAAAGUCACUACUAAUAAUUGCAUAACAUGCAUAUGAGAGAACCUAGGCAUUUAUAAGGAAAAGAAAUAAAAUUAUAAAAACUAUUAAAAAAUGCAUGCAACAAACAAGUUGGUUCACGAUAGUCAUGUUAGAAAUUUAAUAUAAAAUCAUUUAUGUAAUCAUUAACUAACAACUUAAAUUUUUGAGAUAAUUAGUAUUGCUUAAUACAUUUUUCAUGAGGUUAAUCCUUGCGUUCUUUCGGAUGGUUAACCACCUAGUGAAGAAUAAAUUAAUAUUCUUCCAAAAUCAUGUUUCCAUCUCUCAAAAUGAGCAGUAUUGCUCCUUGUAAUAUAUGUGGGGUUUCUCUUCGGGAGUUAGAACUGAUACCCCCACUCUUAGAAUUGUUACCUCCUUUAAAGUGGGAAAUCUCCAAAAUAUCACUGUUAAAAAUAAUUCCCGAGCUUUGGGACCUCGGGAACACCCCGAGCUUUAAGUCUCGGGUUAUCUUAUAAUUUUUCUGAUGAAUUUUCCGAGCUUUGGUACCUCGGGAACAUCCCGAGAGUCUAAUUCCCGGAAUCCUUCCGAGGGCUAUGCCUCAGUAAUUUAUAAACGCGGAUUUCCCUAGGUUUGCCAAGCUCGGAAUGUGAAAAAUGUGUUCCCGAGAUUGCAAAACCUCGCCGAGGUUGCAAAACCUCGGAAACCUUCAUUGAAGAAAUUGGAAGUAUUCCCGAGCCUUAGACCUCAGUAAGGAAAACGUAAGGAAACAACUUACAGUCCUGAGCCCUACAGCUCGGGAAAUAACUUCCAGUCUCGAGCUCUAAAGCUCGGGAGAAAGUGAUGAGGAGCGUGAUGCACUGCAGAGAACGUGAAGGCUCGAGAAGGGGAGAAAAGGGAGUGUUAAAACAUGGGGCAAUUUUAGGUUUUUUAGAAAAUAAAAGAGGUAACAAUUCUAAGAGUGAGAUACCAAUUCUUAUUCCCUUUCUCCUCCCUUAUUUGUUUGAUUAAUGUAAAUGUCAUAUGGCUGCCGAUAUUAAUCAAAUGAGUACUCUUCAAUUUAUUUUUUUGAAAUUGUACAUGCAGUACCCAUCCUAUUCGUAUGUUGCAAUUUCUGUUUACACUAAAUCACUAAUUAUUUGGUUAACCACCUAGUGAUGGGUUGCUUAACAUUAAUUAAUAUUUUCCAUAUAAUGUUCUUAUGAGAAGAAUAACUGAGAAAAGAUAAAAAUAUAUUUUUAAAGAUACAAUAGAAAUAUAAAUAAUAUUCAUUUUCAUUUUCCCUCUUGGUGUAUAACAGAUGCACAUGGAGUACUCUUUUCUAAGGUUAACUGUUUAAGUACAAAUGACCAGAACUCUGUCCUUUGAUUUAUGUGAUGUAUUAAAUGGCUUUCAAUAUAAUGAACCUCCAUCAUUUCCAUCUUCCAUGACAACUGACCUACCUACCACUUGUCCAAUGUCCCCGAUUGACAUUCAUUUUGACUCAUUUAGAACAGGACUGUUCUUUUGGUAGAGGCAUUUAUAACAUGUAAAGAUGACGGUUAAACACGAAGAGAAAGAGUAUAAUUAGCUAAAAAUUCAAAAUUAUUAAAAAGAAAUUUUUGGAAUAUUAAUACAUAUAUAUAUAUAUAUAUAUAUAUUUUAUAACUUGUACUUUCAUCCAUUCACUAUAACAUGUCAUGUGAUUUGAUGAAUCUGGUUAAAUCACUCCAAACAAUGUUGAUUGAGGAGGUUCGACGUAUUUCAGGCAGAGAGACUGAGGAGGUGAUGGUGUCACAGUAGCUCCGUUUUCUGAUGAACCAGCCCGGAUGAGACCUUGUAAAGUCACUCUGAUACCUAAGUUAGGAGUCGGUGAGUUGAGAGGGAUCCAGAGAGAAUGAUAAGAAUG
rnacentral:lncRNA from 1 species